rnacentral:rRNA from 1 species
UCGGGAAUAUUGCGCAAUGGAGGAAACUCUGACGCAGUGACGCCGCGUAUAGGAAGAAGGUUUUAGGAUUGUAAACUAUUUUAGACAGGGAAGAAAAAUGACAGUACCUGUAGAAUAAGCUCCGGCUAACUACGUGCCAGCAGCCGCGGUAAUACGUAGGGAGCAAGCGUUAUCCGGAAUUAUUGGGUGUAAAGGGUGCGUAGACGGGAAUACAAGUUGGUUGUGAAAGCCCUCGGCUCAACUGAGGAACUGCAACCAAAACUAUAUUUCUUGAGUGCAGGAGAGGAAAGCGGAAUUCCUAGUGUAGCGGUGAAAUGCGUAGAUAUUAGGAGGAACACCAGUGGCGAAGGCGGCUUUCUGGACUGUAACUGACGUUGAGGCACGAAAGUGUGGGGAGCAAACAGGA